rnacentral:rRNA from 1 species
UAAAGUGGAGAUUGUUAAAAUUUUAUUUAUUAGGGAUUUUUAUUUAUAUCAUGCGUGAGGUUAUUUUGGAACGAUAGAUUAAUGUACUGUUAUGGAACUUUGAAAAAAUUAUAGUUGUUUUUGUAAAAGUUAAAUAGUUUUGUACCUUUUGUAUCAGGGUUUAAUUAAAUUUAGUAAGGUUUUUAUUAUCUCCCGAAUUAUUUUGAGCUACUUAAUGAAUUUUUAAACGUUUUAGAGUUUAAAUUAAGUUGUGGUAGAAAUGAAAUUUUAAUCGAAAAAUGUGAUAUCUGGUUAUUUUUGAAAAAUUAUAUGUUUUUAUAUAUUUUGUGCUUUAUAAGUAGAUUUAUAUUUUUUGCUCUUUGGGAUAAGCUUUGGAGUUUUAUAUAAAAAUUUUAUUUUUAAAGUAAAAGGUUUAAAAUUUACUUAUUUGUAAUAAAAGAAUUUUAAUGAUGUUUUUGGUUUUAUUUUUUUUUUGUUUUAUUUAAUUAUAUGUUAAAAGUGAUGAUGUUAAAAUUAGUAUAAUUUUUAAUUUUUUUUAAAAAAAUUAAGUUUAAUUUAAUUAUUUUUAAAAAGUAUAGUAACUCGGCAAUUGUAACUUCUGAAUGUUUAUCAAAAACAUUGUAUUUUGAUGUUAAUGAAAUAUAAAACCUGCUCAAUGUUUUGUAAAUUGCUGUGGUAUUUUGACUAUGCGAAGGUAUUGAAAUAAGAUUUUUAAUGGAUGCUAAGAGAAUGGUUUAACAGGGGUUAACUUUCUUUAUUUUUAUUUUAAAAGUUAAUUUAAAUAUGAAAAAGUUUUUAUGCAAUUUUGGGACAAGAAGACCCUAUGAAUUUUUUUAAGAAUAGGUAUUUAGCUAUUUUUGUAGAAUGGAGAUAUCUUUUUUUAAUUGGUUGGGGCGACUUUUAAAGAUAGGAAUCUUUAAAAUGAUUAAAAUGAUCCAUUAAUAGUGAUUAUUUGAAUAAAAUACUCUAGGGAUAACAGCGUUAUUAUUUUGGAUAGUUCAUAUAGAUAAAAUAGAUUGCGACCUCGAUGUUGGAUUAAGAUACUUUUAUAAUGAAGAAGUUAUAAUAAGAAGUUUGCUCAACUUUUAAAUUCUUACAUGAUCUGAGUUCAGACCGGCGUGAGCCAGGUUGGUUUCUAUCUAAAUUUUGAAGUUAUUUUCAUAGUACGAAAGGAAUUGAUUAUAUAAAAUUUUUAAAUAAAAAUUUUAGUUAAAGUUAU